UACGUAGGGUGCAAGCGUUGUCCGGAAUUAUUGGGCGUAAAGAGCUCGUAGGCGGUUUGUUGCGUCGGCUGUGAAAUCCCGAGGCUCAACCUCGGGUCUGCAGUCGAUACGAGCAAACUAGAGUGUUGCAGGGGAGACUGGAAUUCCUGGUGUAGCGGUGAAAUGCGCAGAUAUCAGGAGGAACACCAGCGGCGAAGGCGGUGCUCUGGGGCCGGAACUGACGCUGAGGAGCGAAAAGCGUGGGGGAGCGAACAGG
rnacentral:rRNA from 1 species